rnacentral:rRNA from 1 species
GAUGAACGCUGGCGGCGUGCUUAACACAUGCAAGUCGAACGAAGCAUUUGCGACAGAUUUUUUCGGAAUGAAGUUGCUUAUGACUGAGUGGCGGACGGGUGAGUAACGCGUGGGUAACCUGCCUUGUACUGGGGGAUAGCAGCUGGAAACGGCUGGUAAUACCGCAUAAGCGCACAAUGUUGCAUGACAUGGUGUGAAAAGCUCCGGUGGUAUAAGAUGGACCCGCGUCUGAUUAGCUAGUUGGUGAGAUAACAGCCCACCAAGGCGACGAUCAGUAGCCGACCUGAGAGGGUGACCGGCCACAUUGGGACUGAGACACGGCCCAGACUCCUACGGGAGGCAGCAGUGGGGAAUAUUGCACAAUGGAGGAAACUCUGAUGCAGCGACGCCGCGUGAGUGAAGAAGUAAUUCGUUAUGUAAAGCUCUAUCAGCAGGGAAGAUAGUGACGGUACCUGACUAAGAAGCUCCGGCUAAAUACGUG